GUGCACAUGGUAUAGUUGGUUACACGCCCGCUUAAUGCAGGCUAAGCGGGUGGUCCCCGGUUCGAUUCCGGGUGUGUGUU